CCAAGGCGACGAUCGGUAGCUGGUCUGAGAGGAUGAGCAGCCACACUGGGACUGAGACACGGCCCAGACUCCUACGGGAGGCAGCAGUGGGGAAUUUUCCCCAAUGGGCGAAAGCCUGACGGAGCAACGCCGCGUGGGGGAAGAAGGCCUUUGGGUUGUAAACUCCUUUUNUCAGGGAAGAAGCACUGACGGUACCUGAGGAAUCAGCCUCGGCUAACUCCGUGCCAGCAGCCGCGGUAAUACGGAGGAGGCAAGCGUUAUCCGGAAUUAUUGGGCGUAAAGCGUUCGUAGGCGGCAUUUCAAGUCUGCUGUCAAAGGCCGAGGCUCAACUUCGGAAAGGCAGUGGAAACUGAAAAGCUAGA
rnacentral:rRNA from 1 species